AGCCUCGUAGUCCAAUGGUGCGAUACCGUGCAUUCUACAAAAAAUCGACAGCAACGUAGCCGGAGAGUGCGGGUUCGAUUCCCGCCGGGGCAG